AUGUUGAAAGCUUUUCUUUUUAAUUAUCUCCAUUAUUCCUUGUGUUCAACAUUGUACUGAAAGCUCUAGGCAAUGCACUAAGGCAAACAAAGGAAUUAAAAGGCAUAGGAAUUGGAAAGGAAGCAUUUAAACCAUCAUUCACAGAGACAAAGUGAAAAGACGCAGAUGUAUUUAAUUUUGAGGAAACAGUUUAUAGUCAUCAUAUGUCUCCAGUCACCACCAAGCACUGUUUGGUAGCAGUUGGUACUAGAGGACCCAAAGU